rnacentral:rRNA from 1 species
UAGCUAAUACCGGAUAACAACAGAUGAUGCCUAUCAACUGUUUAAAAGAUGGUUCUGCUAUCACUCUUGGAUGGACCUGCGGUGCAUUAGCUAGUUGGUAGGGUAACGGCCUACCAAGGCGAUGAUGCAUAGCCGAGUUGAGAGACUGAUCGGCCACAUUGGGACUGAGACACGGCCCAAACUCCUACGGGAGGCAGCAGUC